CCACAUUCACUUCCUUAAGAAACUAAGACAAUGCUAGCUGGAAAAAAUAAAACCAAAGAACUAGAAAGACAGGACCAAGUAACCACAACGAUGUUUCAGAGAACACUAUCGGCAACCGCAUCUAAAAGAGCCAUUGCCUGCGGAGAAUUCAAGGCCGAAAAACCACCAACGGCAAGGGAGAUGAACUGAGAGAGCUUUCCUCAAGAUAACACUUCCA
rnacentral:lncRNA from 1 species